CAUACAGGCAGAUGUUAAAAUAAUCAUGCAGCUGUAUCAUCAUCCAUACUCCUUGGACAGCCAGAAGGUGAGGCUUGCUUUGGAAGAGAAUGACAUGGAUUACACAUCAUUCCAUGUCAAUCCUCUCACAGGAAAGAACAUGGAAUCAUCUUUCUUUCGCAUGAACCCAACUGCAAAACUGCCUGUUUUCAAGAAUGGUUCUCACAUCAUCUAUGAUACUAUUGAGAUAAUACAGUACAUAGAAAGAGUGACACUAGUCUCUUCGGGUGUUGAUCAUAAUUCCGUUAAUAGUAGAGAAGUCAAUGAAUGGAUGCAAAAGAUACAAAAUUGGAACCCUGAGAUAUUCACACUCUCUCACAUCCCUGGCAAGUACCGGAUUUUUGUUUCCAAAUUCAUAAGGCGGGUAAUAAUUGCUCGAAUGGCUCAGUGUCCAGAUCUAGCUAGUGUCUACCAUCUAAAGCUUAAAGCUGCGUAUGAGACAGAAGACAAGUUGAAAGAUCCAUAUGUGUUGAAGCAGGGUGAGGAACAGCUGGUUCAACUUCUUGAUGAUGUGGAGACACAGCUGAAUGAGACGACAUAUCUGGCAGGUGAUGAGUUCACUAUGGCCGAUGUUAUGCUGAUUCCUGUUCUGGCUCGCAUUAUGCUUUUAAAUUUGGAAGAUGAGUAUAUUCUUUGCAGGCCUAACAUAACAAAGUAUUGGGAGGUUGUGAAACAGAGGCCUAGUUAUGGGAAGGUGAUAGGGAGGUAUUUUACAGGAUGGAGAAAAUACAGAACGCUGUUCAAAACCUUCUGCUUCCUUUGCAUCAGAAGUGUACUUAGGAGAUACUGAUCCAAAUAAUAGCAAUGAAAGGUAUGAAGAAUGAAAUGGGAGGAUGAGUAAAUGUAUAAAUAAAUGUAUCAGUAUGUAUUUUAUUGGGGCAGGUUUUGAUUCAACCAGAAGAUUGGAUUAAUUUAAAUGUACGAAUAGAUGAAUCAAUAAAUUUAAUGUCUGGGAGGAUGGUUUGAUUCAGAGAGAAGAUUGGUUUGAAGGAGUAAGUCAGGUGGGACAAGAACUGAAAGACAAAAUUUUCGAAUGGAGUAUCCAACUGAUGCCUUCUAGUAUAAACUUUCCGUGAUGAAGUUUAGAAAUUUAAGUGGUAGGAUUCUGGUUGUAAUAUUCUUCUUGUUCUCAUUUGGAUAUUUUUUUGAAAGUUUUCAAACAAAUCCCAAGUGUAGUUGCUCAAGCUUCUUGUACAUUGGAUGUAAAUUAGGUUGUGUUAUUAGCACAAAUAAAUCAUGACACAAAUGUAUUCCAUACAGUGUAAGCCUUCUUUGUCCAGACAUGUAAUAUGCAAGAAAUGAUCAUCUCAUGAGUGUUGCAAUUCCGCCCUGACUGAAUCUUGAGUAUUGUGGUAAUACAAAGUUUAUGUAAUUUUUUAUUAGU